ensembl:lncRNA
UUAAAAACGCUGUCCUUUAAAUAAGGGCUUCUCCAAACUCACCGGAUUCUGGAGGAAUGUCAUUGUGCUCCUCGCUCUUCACUUACUUUGCUGAAGGAUCCGCUUAAGGUAUGAAACCGUUUGACUGUGAACCGUUUUUGUGAUCACGAGGUUUAUAAACGAUGUCCUCAAAACAGUCCUUAAAAAGUACUGGGAGAAAACGAGGACAUUACACUUAAAACACAACAUGUGUGACUGAAAUCAGCCAGUUUUCGUUCGAUUUCUCACCGACUGAUACUCAAUAUUUAACUUUGUUUUAUUAAACCCUGGCUUUUAUUAUUAGAAUAGCCUGUCUGUACUAAAACUGCUAAAUGUCAAUUAUCUAUGCAUCCUGUUAAAAGAGCGAGUCGCGUAAUGCGUUCCCAUUAUGUUAUGCAUAAUCCGCAGAUAAAGUUCUGUUCUUCUGUUUGACAUGACUGUAUUUUCUUUCGUCUUUUCUUGUCUUAAGCAGGAUAUUUUCUGGUAGGCUACUCCAUUCCCGCCUCUUGUGUUCGUUUAGCGCAGCGGUUCUCAAGAAGAUCAUCUGCGAAAGAAAGAAAGAAAGACAAACUGCGGAAACUGCGUCGUCUCUCUUUCUUUCAUAAAGCGGCUCCGAACGAUCUCCAAUUCCUCUGAAACUUUCUUCUUCAGAUCGUUGACUUCGCACUGUCUGAGCAAACCUGACACAGAGCGUCAUGACAGACAUUCACUAACAUCAGAACUAGAACACGAUUAAUACAGUCAUCUCAAAUAAAGGAUCACUGUGUAAGGAAGCUUGAGUUAUUAUUUGUUCAAUAACUUCACAAUUAAAUAAAUGCAAUAAUUUGUUGUGUGCUUUCAGACAGUUUCCUUAUAUGAGCUAAAACAUGGACAUCAUUAAUGUGACGUGUGCAGAGAUUGAGACUCCAGUGGGGUUUGUGUAUGUGAUUCUGUCUGUUAUAAUGAAUCAAACUAAUAAUCCUGACUGUGAUCAGAGCUGGUAUCUACAGGACAGGCGUCUGAUAGCAGAUCCAUCAGAUCCUCAGAAACUGACUGAUCCUGUGAUUUCUGUCUCGUCUGAUCGUCUCGUCACGUCUCGCUGUGUGAAUCUGACUCAUCAGAUCAUCUGUCAUUCUGUUGGAUUCAGACUGGAGCCCAUGUUCAGAGAUGAGAGAAAGACGAUGUUUCUGGAGGACAGACGAUGAUCUCUGUGUGGAGAGGUUGAGAGUAUAAUGUUGGGACUCCAUCAGUCUUUGUGUGGCAUCGGCUGAAAUCAGUGGAUCUGUAGUUCCCUGAAUCUUCAGUCGUUUCAGUCUCUCGGAGCAGACAGUGUCUUUCAGAGAGAAUCAGUAAACACUCACUUCCUGAGGACAGGGACGCUCUGCAACAUUUAUGCGUCUUGUGGACUGUGUAAUAUGUUGAUGAUACAUGAGAUGAGACACAGACCACAGACUGAACUACUGCAUCAACAUGUGCUUUAAUGUGAUUCUCACAGGUGUAUUCACACACAUGUUCUGCUAGAAUACAUUACACCUCCCUUUUUAACAACUCAGAGCUUCAAUCAUUUGUUUGAACACUCAACAAUGUAUUUAAUGUCAGCAUGAAAUGCUCUCUGUUUCUUCUGUAUCCGUUCAUCAGGUGUGUGGACAAAGAAAGAUCUCAGCAGCUCAUGUUUGCUCAGCACAGUAGCUGCUGGUUUACUUUUUUUCUGUGCUUGAUAUGCUUCUGUUAUCUCCUGGAAGUCUGUCUGUUAAAUGUCCAGAUAAAGAUCUGGAUCAGUGUUAUUUGUAGGUUUUUUUUGUUUUUUUUUUUUUUUUGGAUCCUCUGACUUCAAACUAGACACUGAAACAAAAAAAAGUCACUUAGGAUAAAAGCGUCUGCUAAAUUAAUAAAUGUAAAAGAAACCCGUCUGUUCCGAAACA